GAUGAAGAACGUAGCGAAAUGCGAUAAGUAAUGUGAAUUGCAGAAUUCAGUGAAUCAUCGAAUCUUUGAACGCACAUUGCGCCCGCCAGUAUUCUGGCGGGCAUGCCUGUUCGAGCGUCAUUUCAACCAUCAAGCCCCAGGCUUGUGUUGGGGACCUGCGGCUGCCGCAGGCCCUGAAAACCAGUGGCGGGCUCGCUAGUCACACCGAGCGUAGUAGCAUACACAUCGCUCAGGGCGUGCUGCGGGUUCCGGCCGUUAAACCCCUUUUUUACCCAAGGUUGACCUCGGAUCAGGUAGGAAGACCCGCUGAACUUAAACAUAUCAAUAAGCGGAGGA
rnacentral:misc_RNA from 1 species